rnacentral:rRNA from 1 species
ACGGAAGGUCCAGGCGUUAUCCGGAUUUAUUGGGUUUAAAGGGAGCGCAGGCGGCGGCGUAAGUCAGUUGUGAAAUCGUGCGGCUUAACCGUGCAAUUGCAGUUGAUACUGCGUCGCUUGAGUGCACACAGGGAUGUUGGAAUUCAUGGUGUAGCGGUGAAAUGCUUAGAUAUCAUGAAGAACUCCGAUCGCGAAGGCAUAUGUCCGGAGUGUAACUGACGCUGAGGCUCGAAAGUGUGGGUAUCAAACAG